rnacentral:miRNA from 1 species
UGCGUGUAUGUACUGCGGGGGCA